rnacentral:misc_RNA from 1 species
CAGCAUCCGGAGUUGGAUUUCUCGAAGGCCAAGAUAUCAUAAGAUUGGAAUGUUUAAUUUGGCGGCAGAGGGUUAGUCUAGAUGGCUGGGGCCUCUCCUUAUCCAGUGGGAUUUCUUUUUGUUGGGCUUGGAAUGGGUAACUCUAAGGUUUGGAUUGGUUGAACUCUGUUAACAGUUUUGGAGUUGAAAAUUUUUGGAUAGACGUGUGCUUUGCGGUCCCAAAUUUAAAUAUAGCUUUUGUGGUGCUAACUCCUUCAUGUUAUACUGCUUCGUUUGGCCUCAAAUAAUAGGGCUUUUUAACAAACAAGUGGAUUUUAAAAUAAAAUUCACACACAAUAGGGUGGCUUAUAAAAUUUUUAUCCAAAGGGGUGUUUUUCUGCCAGUAGGACAAGAAACAAUUUGGACAAGAAGCAAUUUGGACGUGGAC